UACGUAGGGUGCGAGCGUUAAUCGGAAUUACUGGGCGUAAAGCGUGCGCAGGCGGUUUUGUAAGCCAGGUGUGAAAUCCCCGGGCUCAACCUGGGAAUGGCAUUUGGGGACUGCAAGGCUGGAGUGUGGCAGAGGAGACUGGAAUUCCUGGUGUAGCAGUGAAAUGCGUAGAUAUCAGGAGGAAUACCGAUGGCGAAGGCGGUCUCUGGGCUGACACGUGACGCUCGAGUGCAC
rnacentral:rRNA from 1 species